UCGAUUUUGUUUAUCGCAAUAUUUUACGUUAUUUUCGUGGUGUGUGAUUCUGAUUUCCACCUUUCAAUAUAACCACUCCAUACUUACCAUGGGUAUUGUACAAGGUGGCUAAGGGAUAAUGAGUCAUUACAAGCUAAAGCAUUCCCAAUAAGGGUUGACAGGCGGCCAGCAUUCUUCAGUUUUUUUACGCAGACCCUGGGAUUCAAAACGCUACACCCGAGAAUAACAUUUGAAAAAUAUCGGCUGUGAUUAUGAUGUGACGUCAGCUCGGAACGUUCCCUAGCUGACCAGCAGAACUAUUAAUUACGACGUGUGCGUCAGCAGCUUCAUAGUGAACAGACCACAGUCAGCACCAGGCGGAAACGACAUGGCCAGUUUUCUGUUUCCUACGUAUAGUAUGCGAUGUGUAGCGCAUGCGUCACUGUGACAAAAUAUUUACCUCACAAAAUGAAAGGAAUGUGAUGGAAAUAGCUGCUAACAUAGAAGUGAACCUUACAAAAUGAAUGCCAGUGCAAGUUGGCAAUAGUCCAUUGAAUAGUUUGAGAGCAUUAUUGUUUUGUCGACAAAGCAACUACUGGUUCCAAGUGAUUUCAAUAUUGACUCUUAUGCUCUGAGUAUACAUACAAUGAGAAUGUUUGAGAAGCAAAGAAGUAAAAUCAUCUUCGUCUACUCAACUUAUAAGAGGCUAGUAAUUUAAUUGGCUAAGACAAACAGGUGCCUACAUGCACGAAUAUUAGAAUGAUGAAGAAAUUGACAAUAGCAGGCAGUUGAAAUAAUUAUACUAUUUCAACUGCUAUUGUCAAUUUCUUCGCAAUCAUAGUGAAAAGCAGAGUAUAUACCUCUAUGUACUUCGAUCGUCUUAUAUCGGUUAUCAUCCUCCUCGCCUCAGUGAUUCAUGAUCUUAACGUGUAAUCUACUAUUAUUCCUUUAUGUAGUGCUUACAUGGUAUUUAUUUAUAUCCUUUUAUUUUUAACCUGCACUUUGUGUUAGUACAGCGUAUGUCGUAUAAAGACCCUAAAGCCUUAAGCAUAUAAAUCUAAUAGGUAGUGCAUAUUAAGUUAGAAUACAUUACCAUACGUAAACCCACGUAAGUUAGGCUUGGGUUGUCCUCAAAGUAAAUAUGAUGUCGGCUUGUAAUAAAUAACGAAGUAAAUGCGUUUUAAAAUAUAGCAGCGCGCAGUUCACAAAAUGUCUGUUACUGUCUUUUGAACCAUCUGUCUAUUCGCACGAUUGCUCACAACGACUAGACUGUAUUUAAAAUGCGCUACGUGAAAUGGAAUUACCUUGUGUCUUGCAAAAAUGAAAUAGCUAUGAACAACAAUGUCUCUUUUAUAAUAAAAGAUAAAUACAAUUAUUUUUCGUACAAUAAAGAUAAACAAAUGUAAUAGAUACAAGUGUAUUGUAAAAAUUGUUUAAUAUUUUUGUGUCUGACAUCGGAGUUAGAGUGUGGUCUAGAAUUAGACUACGCCUGGCUGUCGUACAAGGCGACUAAAUGUUCAUUAAACAAGGUUCGUUAAACACUAAAAGUUCAUAGCUAUAUAGCAUUUUGUGAACUGCGCGCUGCUAUAUUUUUUUCACCUAUGAACUUUUAGUGUUUCAUAUACAUUUUGA